GACGAACGCUGGCGGCGUGCUUAACACAUGCAAGUCGAACGAAGUGGCGAACGGGUGAGUAACGCGUAAUUAACCUGCCCUUCAGAGGGGGACAACAGUUGGAAACGACUGCUAAUACCGCAUACUGAAGGAGGGGAUUGCGUCGGAUUAGCUAGUUGGGGGGGGAACGGCCCACCAAGGCGAUGAUCAGUAGCCGGUCUGGGGAGGUGAACGGCCACAUUGGGACUGGGACCCGGCCCCGACUCCUACGGGAGGCAGCAGUGGGGGAUCUUCCGACAUGGAGGAAAGUCUGACUGAGCAACGCCGCGUGAGUGAUGACGGCCUUCGGGUUGUAAAGCUCUGUUAAUCGGGACGCGUUACCGGAAUAGAAAGCCACGGCUAACUACGUGCCAGCAGCCGCGGUAAUAC
rnacentral:rRNA from 1 species